rnacentral:tRNA from 1 species
GCUGGUGUGGCUCAGUGGGUAGAGCCUCCGCCUGCGGACUGGGAGGUCCCGGGUUCGAUUCCCGGUCAAGGGCC